rnacentral:lncRNA from 1 species
UGGAGAUAUAGCAAAAACAAAGUUUACCAAAAAAGAAAAAUCCAUAAACAAAGGCCAAAAUGAAGGAAUUUGUCCGAAAUUGGGCCUACGUCAGGAACAAAGUUGCUGUGAAGAGUUCAUGGCUCAUUUCUGAUCAAAUUUGUCUAAAAUUUCGCCAGAAAUGUACAAUCCCAAAUUUUUUCCAAAAAUUGGGAAAUUCCAUAUUUUUGCCUGUGCCGAUCAGACCUUUCCACCAAGUCUAAUUCAUUUUGCAACACAUCAACAUCAAAUCAAGAAUAACUAAAAAUAUGUAGAGGUUUCAAUAGAACGAAAGAAAAUGCAUGAGAAUCAAAGCAUUCUCUAUUCAUUUAUCAGUUUCAAGUACAAGGAUGAUUUUACCAUGUUUUUUAAAGCUGCAAUAAUUUCCUCAGCUUAAUGGGAGCCCUUUGGAGAUAAGUGGGUCGGAUAUUAAACCCGAUCCGCUCGAUUUCGUCACCCUCCACCAGAUGUUGCUAGAGGAAAGCAAGCGGGCUAUUCAUGAGAGAGAGAGAGAGAGAGUAAAGGUGUGAGAAAGAGUGAGAUUUGAGGUAUACGUUGAUAGGCAUGGCAAUCGGGUUUAUCGGCUCGGGUCGCCCAUGGCAUGACUCAGAAAAAGCUCGAGCCUACCCAACUCGAGGCUCGGGACGAGCCCCAUUUUUAGGUGCCGGGCAAAAUCCGAGUCGGCCCGUGUGGCUCACCGACUCGGGAAAACCUA